rnacentral:rRNA from 1 species
AUUGAACGCUGGCGGCAUGCCUUACACAUGCAAGUCGAACGGCAGCACGGGAGCAAUCCUGGUGGCGAGUGGCGAACGGGUGAGUAAUGUAUCGGAACGUGCCCAGUCGUGGGGGAUAACGUAGCGAAAGCUACGCUAAUACCGCAUACGAUCUAUGGAUGAAAGCGGGGGAUCGCAAGACCUCGCGCGAUUGGAGCGGCCGAUAUCAGAUUAGCUAGUUGGUGGGGUAAAGGCUCACCAAGCCGACGAUCUGUAGCUGGUCUGAGAGGACGACCAGCCACACUGGGACUGAGACACGGCCCAGACUCCUACGGGGGGCAGCAGUGGGGAAGUUUGGACAAUGGGCGCAAGCCUGAUCCAGCAAUGCCGCGUGCAGGAUGAAGGCCUUCGGGUUGUAAACUGCUCUUGUACGGAGCGAAAAGGCUCUCUCUAAUACAGGGGGCUCAUGACGGUACCGUAAGAAUAAGCACCGGCUAACUACGUGCCAGCCGCCGCCGUAAGAC